rnacentral:rRNA from 1 species
AUUGAACGCUGGCGGCAGGCCUAACACAUGCAAGUCGAACGAGUGGCGGACGGGUGAGUAAUGUCUGGGAAACUGCCCGAUGGAGGGGGAUAACUACUGGAAACGGUAGCUAAUACCGCAUACCAUCGGAUGUGCCCAGAUGGGAUUAGCUAGUCGGUGGGGUAACGGCUCACCUAGGCGACGAUACCUAGCUGGUCUGAGAGGAUGACCAGCAACACUGGAACUGAGAAACUGCCCAGAAUCCUGCGGGAGGCAGUAGUGGGUAAUAUUGGACAAUGGGGACAAGCCUGAUGCAGCCAUACCGCGUGGAGGAAGAAGGCCUUCGGGUUGUAAAGUACUUUCAGCGAGGAUUCGUUACUCGGAGAAGAAGCACCGGCUAACUCCGUGCCAGCAGGCGCGGUGAUUC